UCAAGCUAAUAAGGGCGCAAGGGGAAUGCCUUGGCAUUGGUAGCCGAUGAAGGACGUAGCGAUCUACGAUAAGCUGCGGGGAGUCGAAAGCAGGCAUCGAUCCGCAGAUUUCCGAAUGGGGAAACCCGGCAGAGCAAUACUCUGUCAACCUCUUGUGAAUCAAAUAGCAUUAGGUAGGGAACCUCCUGAACUGAAACAUCUAAGUAGGGAGAGGAAAAGAAAUCAACCGAGAUUCCGCUAGUAGUGGCGAGCGAACGCGGAAGAGGCCAAACCAGGAGUAGUAAUACUCUUGGGGUUCGGACAGCAUACGGUAUUGACAAAGGUUAGUAGAAUGAGAUGGGAAGCUCAACCAUAGAGCGUGAGAGUCGCGUAAACGAAAACCGGAGUCAGCUAGCUGUAUCCAGAGUACCGCCGGACACGUGAAACCCGGUGGGAAUAUGGGGGGACCACCCUCCAAGCCUAAAUACUCACCAAUGACCGAUAGUGUAUAGUACUGUGAAGGAAAGGUGAAAAGAACCCCUGGCGGGGAGUGAAAUAGAACCUGAAACCUUGUGCCUACAAGCACAUAGAGCACAUCAACGUGUGAUAUGGUACCUUUUGUAGAAUGGUCCGGCGAGUGAAUGUCACUAGCAAGGUUAAGGACUUAAGGUCUGCAGCCGAAGCGAAAGCGAGUCUUAAUAGGGCGACAUUAGUUAGUGGUAUUCGACCCGAAACCGAGUGACCUAGCCAUGAGCAGGCUGAAGUGGAGGUAAAACUCCAUGGAGGGCCGAACCCACUCCCGUUGAAAUGGUAGGGGAUGACUUGUGGCUAGCGGAGAAAUUCCAAUCGAACUCGGAGAUAGCUGGUUCUCUCCGAAAUAGCUUUAGGGCUAGCCUCAAAUAACAUUACCGCAGGUAAAGCACUGAAUGAGCUAGGGGGCGAAAGCUUACUGAACUCUAUCAAACUAAGAAUGGCGGAUAAUGAAUGUUUGGGAGUCACACUACGUGAGAUAAGUUUCGUGGUGGAAAGGGAAACAGCCCAGACCCACAGCUAAGGUCCCAAAGUACAGUUAAGUGGAAAAGGAUGUGAAAUUGCGCAGACAACCAGGAUGUUGGCUCAGAAGCAGCCACUCAUUCAAAGAGUGCGUAAUAGCUCACUGGUCGAGUGAUUUUGCGCCGAAAAUUUAACGGGGCUAAACUGUACACCGAAGCUUGGGAAUAUACCUUAUGGUAUGUUGGUAGGAGAGCGUCGUAUGCGGGGUGAAGUCGUAGCGAAAGCGGCGGUGGACUGCAUAGGAGUGAGAAUGCCGGAAUGAGUAGCGAGAAUUAUGUGAGAAUCAUAAUGGCCGAAAGACUAAGGUUUUAGAAGGAAGGUUCGUCCGCUUCUAGUUAGCCGGGGGCUAAGGCGAGGCCGAGAGGCGUAGUCGAUGCACAUACGGUUGAGAUUCCGUAGCCACCUUAAAUUUAAACUAAGGGACACAUCUGAAGGGCAUAAGCCAGGCGUUGGUUGACCUGGUCGUAAGGGAACGAAAAUAAGUAGUGAAGUAUGCUUGGAUGGUGGCGAGAAAAGCUUAGUGUAUAUAAUUAGGGUGCCCGUACUGUAAACCGACACAGGUAGUCAGGAAGAGAAUUCUAAGGCCAUCGGGAGAAGCGUUGUUAAGGAACUCGGCAAAUUGACCCCGUAACUUCGGAAUAAGGGGUGCUCACGAGAGUGAGCCGCAGUGAAUAGGUCCAGGCAACUGUUUAUCAAAAACACAGCUCUCUGCUAAAUCGUAAGAUGACGUAUAGGGGGUGACACCUGCCCGGUGCUGGAAGGUUAAGAGGAGGAGUGCAAGCCCCGAAUCGAAGCCCCAGUAAACGGCGGCCGUAACUAUAACGGUCCUAAGGUAGCGAAAUUCCUUGUCGGGUAAGUUCCG
rnacentral:rRNA from 1 species